GUUCUCGGCACCCACGAGCAGGGGCCAACUCUAGGCACAACUCUUGACACGACUCCGAGCCACUAUGCUAGCGUCCUCUCGACCUAGCGGGCAAUCACGUCGCCCUCGCGCACGAGUCGCGAUCGUCACACUGCAACACUCCCUCGAAAGGAGGACGCCAGGCCUACGCUAUGAGACGGAUCGCCUUCUUGCUGGCAGGAAUCCUCGCGCUGGCCGGCGUGGUCGCCUCCAUGGCCCCGCUGUCUGGACAGUCGCGGGACGACCUGGCGAGCAAGCUUGCUCGACGCGAGGUCCAGCGCUCGCCGUCAUCGAUUCCCGGUCGUGAGAUCGUGCAGGUCGAAACGCUGAUUCCG
rnacentral:misc_RNA from 1 species